GACGAACGCUGGCGGCGUGCUUAACACAUGCAAGUCGAACGGAAAGGCCCCUUUGGGGGUACUCGAGUGGCGAACGGGUGAGUAACACGUGAGUAACCUGCCCUUGACUUCGGGAUAACUUCAGGAAACUGGGGCUAAUACCGGAUAGGAAUCCUUGCUGCAUGGUGGGGGUUGGAAAGCUUCGGCGGUUUUGGAUGGACUCGCGGCUUAUCAGCUUGUUGGUGGGGUAGUGGCUUACCAAGGCUUUGACGUGUAGCCGGCCUGAGAGGGCGACCGGCCACAAUGGGACUGGGAUACGGCCCAGACUCCUACGGGAGGCAGCAGUGGGGAAUAUUGCACAAUGGGCGGAAGCCUGAUGCAGCAACGCCGCGUGCGGGAUGACGGCCUUCGGGUUGUAAACCGCUUUCAGCAGGGGCGAAGCUUGUGGUGACGGUACCUGCAGAAGAAGCACCGGCUAACUACGUG
rnacentral:rRNA from 1 species